rnacentral:misc_RNA from 1 species
CAGAUGAACGUCACGUGAUGUUGGCCAAUGGCGACUUGCAAGUUUUGUCUGCGCAUCAAGGCGACGAGAAUUAUUUGUAUCAUUGUCGAGUUCUCGUCCAGCCCAUCAGGCAAACAAUGACCAGUUUCACUGCUGGACGAAUCAUCCUCAGUCAAGAAUCCAGGACAAAGAUGGCACAAGUCAUUUUAGAAACUGUGAAUCGAAUUCGAAGUUUGGCGUGGACGAGAUGCCGUUUUACCUUGUGUUUUUCACGGAUAUCUUCCGCAUAAAAUCAAAUGGUACAAAAGUCAAACGAUUCAGUAUGGCAAUUUGUUUUUGCCACUGGUGACAUCAGCUGCCACACAAGAGCAUCGUGAUGGAGUGCUGGGACUUGGGCGUCAUCGCCUCAUUGGUGGCACUUUACUCAUCGCUUCCGUCGUCACCGAAGAUCAGGGCAGUUACAUUUGUUUUGUCAACAGUUCCAUUGGAUUAGUCGAAUCACGUACCGAACUCGUUUCUCGUGUCAAAUUACAAGUCAGAAACGUCGAACGUCGUCAUCGCCGCAUAGAAUGCACAGCACAUUUAAGUCGCCGAUCCAGAAACGUCCGUCACCAUCACGUGUCAUUUCUCCGGCCGGUUGUCAGUUGGCUCAAAGAUGGCCAGCGCUUCUUGGUGGGUAAUAGUGGUCGUGUUUCUUCUUCAUCCGGCGACGACGGUUACACCGAUAUGGUCCAGUUAUCCAUUUCGUCCGUCCAACGUGAAGAUGAGGGAAUAUACCAAUGCCUGACAUCCAAUGACGAAGGAGAUUGGGCCCAAGCAUCGGCCCAGCUGGCCAUUGGAGCAUUUCCUCCUCAUUUGAAAGAAACGUUCAGUCGGCAAGUUGUACAUCCGGGAAGUUCAGUCUCGUUGAAAUGUUUGGCCUCUGGCACUCCGCUGCCUCAUUUCACUUGGACGCUGGACGGGUUUCCGUUAUCGCCCGUUUCCGAACGAUAUUUCCUCGGCCAGCAGCAACAAACGGGUCACGACGAUCUUGUAGUGGCUCAUCUCAACAUAACCCACGUCCGAGUCGAAGACGGAGGCAAUUACAAAUGUGUAGCGGAGAAUCGAGUGGGUCGCGUAGAGCAUUCAGCCAAUUUGCAUAUUUACUUCAAUUCAAUGGCAGUUUGACGAUCGAUCCGUUGGAUAAGAGCAGCGACGCCGGUCUUUAUAGUUGCGAGGUGCGUGGCCAGAACGGACUCUCGGCUCGCCAGUCACUUCAACUCAACAUCCUCGCUUUGCGAAAAUAUUGACUCGGCGCCUUUUUCUUUUCCCCCUCCGCCCUGUAAACUUGCUCGGUCGCUGUGUAUACUCUUUGAUGAUGAGAAAGUUAACAGCGCUUUUCUAUCCGGUCUGGAAGCAGAAAAAAAUUUUAAAAAAAAGGAAGCAAUGAAAGCAAAUGAGACAGACCGACUAUAUCGAUCCAGCAGCCAGAAGCCAAUUUAAGUCUUUCCCAUUUAUUUUUGUGAAAAACAAGAAAAAGGAGAUGAGUUAAGUGGGUAGGAAGGAUAAAUUUAGAAAUUUCUCGACGUUUUUUUUUUGUUGUUGCUUCCGGUCGCCGGAAUUCCGUUUAAAAAAAAAAAAAACACGAAAAUAAAACGAUAUUGGAUACAGACGCGCCUCAUAUAAUGGCAAUGAGCGAUUCGGCCGUGUUGAAUUCCGGCGAACGAUUGGCUCUUCAAUGCGCCGUAGUUAAAGGUGGAUUGCCGUUGUCCGUCAGCUGGUCGAAAGAUGGCCAAGUGAUCGCACCGACAACUGCAACAACGACGACUAGCGUCCGUUUGGUGAACGAAUUCACAGCCACGUUGACGAUUGAAUCGUUGACUGGACAACAUGGUGGAUGGCUUUAGAGCAGCAUUAGCCUUUGCUAUAUCUCCACAUCAUGUAAAUGGAAAAUCUCUGGAACUUCUUGUUGAGAAAUGAAGCCAUUGUGCAUAUUGCAUCAACCAAGGGCGAAAUGUUACCACAUAUAGGCCAAUGUUACAACGGACACAUGAAGUCUGUAUGUUGGUACAGUUUAUCAACAGGCAUAAGAGCAUGUUCGGGCAAUAAUUGUGGGAUAGUUUAGGUAGAUUCUUUGCUGCGUCAUAGCUCGGGAGUCGUAACGGGCAAUAUCCUUGUGCAUUAAGUUGGUGAACUCUUGUGUUCCAUUGGGGAAAUAUUUCAAAUUGAUUAAUUUGCAUGUUACGGAGUUGUUUUUUUCUGAUCUGUGGAGCCUGACAUUUUCCACAAUUUCUAUCGGCGGACAAAAUGUCUUUUAGGAUUGGUAGCAGCUUACGAAGCAGUAGGUUCCAACAUCAUCUAACGUCUGCUUUAGUAAUGGCAGGGAUGUGAAUGAUAAUUUGUGAAAUCAAACAACUUCAGCAGGUGCCUAGCUCAACAACUCCUAUGAAAUCUAGAUUGGUGGUGGUAGUUAUAGGGCGCCUGUUCAGGCAACAGUUUCGUUUUUUAAUCCGCCAAGGAUUUAUGCGUUAUUGCGUCUACUGUGUAGCCUGAGUAGCAUACGCAAGGGGGCGUUUAUCUACAUUCCUGAUCACCAAGCAGUUACAAAUAUGUUCUACACUGAUAAGCAUCCGAGGCAAAGGGCGAGCUGAACUAGUCUAUUGCCCCUCAACUCCAGAGGGCACUAGUUUACAGCAACUCGGGCUCACCCUUUGGGUAAUUUGAGAUACUUUUCUGGACGGUUCAGAAUCUUAUUAUUGGCCAAAAUUUGAUACGAGAUUAAUUGAUACUUAGUCCUGUCAGACCUCAAAUUCUAAGAGAGUGGAUUCUCAUUUCUUCUUCAUACCAGCGAGCAGAUUUGAGGUUUAAAAUUGUUUUAGGUUGUUAAGCAAGUCUGACUUUCUACGAUGUACAUGGCCGCCAAACUUUGUCGUUAUGUCUCACUGUUAAUCGGUAAGAAAAACGUCGAAUUAUUGACGAUACGUUUGUCAAAAUGGCAAAUACAACGCCUAACGAUUUAAAUCUAACUUGGGAUAAUCUACUUCUCGGACAAGGUACUUUGAGACCGGAUCUAAUUGAGUCCGCUUUCCAUAUGGCUUCUUCGCGCACGGUUGCCAUGAAGACUCGUCAUAACGAUUCCGAAAUGGUUCGUCAAUUUCGCAUUCACGGCCGUGUAGUAGAACCUAUUAAAGACUUCCUUAAAGAUGAAGUAAGAGCCUUAGGUCGUGAGCUGGGUUCCUGCACAAUUACUGGAACGUUACCCGUUUCCUGGUCCCGGUUUGUCAAUUUGAAUCAUUUACGCCGAAGAGCCGUUCUUGGAAGCUAAUUUCGAUGAGACGCAAGUGCUGAUUCGUUCGAUGGUCUAUUAUGCCAACAUAGCAGCCAAGGAACAUGCCUUGCUCAAUCGGAUUGAAAUCGUGACGUCGGAAGAAGAACGUCUUCUUCUGGAAGAACUGUCUAGUCGCAACCUAUGUUGCCACGCUACUGCCUAUUCGCACUGUCGGUGUUCAGGUACAGGAGGUUGCAGAAAAAUGUGUCGGGUAUGGCAAACAAAGCAUAGGGAAAACCGCCACAUUUUUCUGCAAUAUAUUGUACAACAGAUUCGCAAUUUAGACGUUGUCGUAAUAAUGCCGCGAUCGUAAUCAACUCUUAUUCAAGGUAUUAGAUGAUAGGUGCCACCGUAUCUACGCCAAGGUUUUUUUUUCUCUUGUCUAGAUCUUUUAAUGGCCAGUGGGUCCUUGUGAUCAUGGCCAAUGGCUUGAGCCGGAUACCAACGACUAUGGCACCUGUCGCCCUUCGCCUUGCCCAGUAAGCAAAUGCAACGGUCGCCAGAUCUACUGGAAGUCAACACUAAAUUCUGAAGGUGGCUGUUAUAAAUCGUUCACACGUGGGCCUUGCAGGCGAAGUAGCUAUUUCCUCGUUGAAGAAUAUGGCCCUCGAAGAGGUCGAUGUGUUUCUCAAUUUGGAUCAUCCUAUGAAUCCUAUGUCCUUCCGUCACGCUAUCCCAGGAUGAGAAACCCUUACGACAUGAUGUACAACAACGCGAUGAGCCCGUGAUCGAAAUUUGGCAUGUAUCCGCCGUUUGGCAUGCAGGAAGAAUAGCGGAGACGACUAUCCUGACAUUCCCAGUUUCGAUUACUGAACUAGAAACAGUUUUACAGAACCAUUCACAUGGUUUUGUCUCUAUUAUUUCAUUAAAAAAAUGUGAUUGCAAAUUUUCUAUUGUGACGUAUGGCGGAUAAAAAACAACCUUGAUUAGUUUUAA